AAAUUGAAGAGUUUGAUCAUGGCUCAGAUUGAACGCUGGCGGCAGGCCUAACACAUGCAAGUCGAACGGUAACAGGAAACAGCUUGCUGUUUCGCUGACGAGUGGCGGACGGGUGAGUAAUGUCUGGGAAACUGCCUGAUGGAGGGGGAUAACUACUGGAAACGGUAGCUAAUACCGCAUAACGUCGCAAGACCAAAGAGGGGGGACCUUAGGGCCUCUUGCCAUCGGAUGUGCCCAGAUGGGAUUAGCUAGUAGGUGGGGUAA
rnacentral:rRNA from 1 species